rnacentral:tRNA from 1 species
GUGUCCGUAGUUUAAAUAAAAUAUCAAGCUGUGACCUUGAACAUAGAGACAUAUCUCUCGUACACC